ensembl:snoRNA
UGGUCAUUUCAAAGAGGGCUUUUGGGGCUGUGAAACCAGGAGCCCUUAACGCAGUGACCACAGAUUGAUGUUCUCCACAGGACCCCAUAGUCACUCAGUAGUGCUGUAUAUUCCUGAGGAGAUAACAUU